GAAGAAAUGAACUAGGGCAAUGAGUGAAUGCCUUGGCGAUAUCAGGCGAUGAAGGACGUGACAAGCUGCGAUAAGCUUCGGGGAGUGGCACAUACAUGGUGAUCCGGAGAUGUCCGAAUGGGGAAACCCAACAGGUGUAAUGACCUGUUCAUAGCCACUGAAUACAUAGGUGUCUAUGGCGAACCCGCUGAAUUGAAACAUCUCAGUAAGCGGAGGAAAAGAAAGCGAAUGCGAUUCCCUUAGUAGUGGCGAACGAAGGGGGAGAAGCCUAAACUCUUGGAAUUUAUUCCAAGGGGGUUGUAGGAGCCCAAUAUUUGGAUAGCGGACGAUAGAGGAAUCCUUUGGAAAGAGGAGCCAGAGAAGGUGAAAGCCCUGUAGUCGAAAUCGGAAGCUGCCAUGGGGAAUUCCUAAGUAGCACGGGACACGUGGAACCUCGUGUGAAUCUGCGCAGACCAUUGCGUAAGGCUAAAUACUCGAUAUCGACCGAUAGUGAACUAGUACCGUGAGGGAAAGGUGAAAAGCACUCCGUGAGGAGAAUGAAAGAGUACCUGAAACUCAUUGCCUGCAAGCGGUCGGAGCACGUUUAUCGUGUGACGGCGUACCUUUUGCAUAAUGGGUCUGGGAGUUAUUGUCAUGAGCAAGCUUAAGAUUUUACAAAUCGAAGGCGGAGCGAGAGCGAGUCUGAAUAGGGCGUUGAGUUGAUGGCAAUAGACCCGAAACGGGAUGAUCUAUCCAUGAUCAGGUUGAAGCUCGAGUAAAAUCGAAUGGAGGACCGAACCGGUGAACCUUGAGACGUUCUCGGAUGAAUUGUGGAUAGGAGCGAAAGACUAAUCAAAUUCCGUGAUAGCUGGUUCUCUUCGAAAUAUAUAUAGGUAUAGCCUCGCAUGCUGAUCAUCGGGGGUAAAGCACUGAAAAGGUUAGGGCCCUUACCGGGGUAUCGACCCUUAUCAAACUCUGAAUACCGAUGAAUGAAGUGCGGGAGUCAGUCCGUGGGGGAUAACCUUCAUGGGCAAAAGGGAAAUAACCCAGACCGCCGAUUAAGGCCCCAAAAUCAUCACUAAGUGGUGUCAAAGGAGGUGAAUCUACAUAGACAAUAGGGAUGUUGGCUUAGAAGCAGCCACCAUUUAAACAGUGCGUAAUAGCUGACCUAUCGAGUGGAUUUGCGCCGAAGAUGAUCGGGACUCAAGUGAUGUGCCGAAAUCGCGGACUUGCGUAAGCGAGUGGUAGAAGAGCGUUCUAACGUGGCUGAAGCCGGAAGGGCAACUGACGGUGGACGCGUUAGAAGUGAGUAUCCAGACAUAAGUAGCGAUAAAUACGGUGAGAAUCCGUAUCGCCGUAAGGACAAGGUUUCCUGGGCAAGGGUCGUCCUCCCAGGGUUAGUCGAGAGCUAAGACGAGGCCGAAUAGGAGUAGUCGAUGCACAACAGGUUAAUAUUCCUGUACCACCUUAUAUGCGUUAUCAUCUUCGGAGUGACGGAGAGGGCUAGUCUGGCGCGGUGUCGAAUAUCCGCGUCCAAAUGCCAGGGCUGUUCGAUAGGAAAAUCCGUCGAAUACAAAGCUGAGGCAUGAUGGGACUCUGAGGCUACGGCCAAAGGGGAUCAGAGGAGGUCGUACUUCCAAGAAAAGCUUCGUUGAGAGUAUAGAAGGUGCUCGUACCGCAAACCGACACAGGUGUCCGGGAUGAAUAUUCUAAGGCGCGUGAGUUAAACCUUCCCAAGGAACUCGGCAAAUUUGCCUUGUAUCUUCGGUAAAAGAGGCGCCCGCGUGAGCGGGUCACAGUAAAGAGGCCCAACCGACUGUUUAUCAAAAACACAGCUCUCUGCUAAGUCGAAAGACGAUGUAUAGGGAGUGACUCGUGACCAAUGCGGAAAGGUGAAAGCCUGAGGUGCAAGCUUCGGGUCUAAGCCCCCGUGAAUGUCGGCCGUAACUAUAACGGUCCUAAGGUAGCGAAAUUCCUUGUCGGGUAAGUUCCGACCUGCACGAAUCGUGUAACGAGUUGGGUGCUGUCUCCGAGAGAUGCUCAGUGAAAUUGUAGUCGCGGUCAAGAUGCCGCGUUCCCGCAGCAGGACGGAAAGACCCUAUGGACCUUUACUGUGUAACCUGGUAUUGUUGUCUGGCUUUUGAUGCGUAGAAUAGGUGGGAGACUUUGAUCCGAUACUUCAGGGUGUCGGUGAGUCGUCGGUGAAAUACCACUCUUCGUUUGUUAGGCCUCUAACUUUGUCCCAUUAACUGGGCAAAGGACAGUGCUAGGGGGUCAGUUUGACUGGGGCGGUCUCCUCCGAAAGAGUAACGGAGGAUUACGAAGGUUUCCUCAUGCCGGUUGGCAAUCGGCAAUUGAGCGCAUGAGUAUAAGGAAGCUUUACUGUGAGACCAACAAGUCGAGCAGUUGCGAAAGCAGGUUCAAGUGAUCCGGUGGUUUGGAGUGGAACUACCAUCGCUUAAAGGAUAAAAGGUACCCUAGGGAUAACAGGCUGAUAGCGCCCAAGCGUUCAUAGCGACGGCGCUGUUUGGCACCUCGAUGUCGGCUCGUCUCAUCCUGGGGCUGGAGAAGGUCCCAAGGGUUUGGCUGUUCGCCAAUUAAAGAGGCACGUGAGCUGGGUUCAAAACGUCGCGAGACAGUUUGGUCCUCUAUCCGCUGUGGGCGUUGGAAAUUUGAGGGAUUCAUUUCUUAGUACGAGAGGACCGGAAAUGACGAACCUCUGGUGUUCCGGUUAUUGUGUCAACAGUAGCGCCGGGUAGCUAAGUUCGGACUGGAUAAGCGCUGAAAGCAUCUAAGCGCCAAGCCAUUCCCAAGAUAAGAUUUCCAUGGAGGGCAACCUCCUGAAGAGUCCUGGCAGACCACCAGGUUGAUAGGUCGGAUGUGUAAGUGCAGUAAUGCAUUAAGCUAACCGAUACUAAUGACUCGAAAAUUUUUCUUCUU
rnacentral:rRNA from 1 species